AACGCGAAGAACCUUACCCAGACUUGACAUGCAGUAGACCUCGCUAGAAAUAGCGACUCCCUUCGGGGCUGCUGCACAGGUGCUGCAUGGCUGUCGUCAGCUCGUGCCGUGAGGUGUUGGGUUAAGUCCCGCAACGAGCGCAACCCUUAUCAUUAGUUGCCAACAUUUAAGGUGGGAACUCUAAUGAGACUGCCUGGGUUAACCAGGAGGAAGGUGAGGAUGACGUCAAGUCCGCAUGGCCCUUAUGUCUGGGGCUACACACGUGCUACAAUGGUCGGUACAGAAGGCAGCGAAACCGCGAGGUGAAGCAAAUCCCAAAAGCCGAUCUCAGUUCAGAUUGUAGUCUGCAACUCGACUACAUGAAGACGGAAUUGCUAGUAAUGGCGUGUCAGCACACCGCCGUGAAUACGUUCCCGGGCCUUGUACACACCGCACGA
rnacentral:rRNA from 1 species